GCCACCCCGUGUCCCAGGCCCGGCCUUUCUGACAAGAGCUAGACUUCGGGCUCCUUGAGGAUAUUCAGUUUUGUAUGUUUGAAUAUCCUCUCACCAUGUUCAGCAUAAAGUACCAUUCUUAAUGAUUAUCCUCAACAAGACAGGUGUGAGAGGGUUGCUGUUGUAUUGCAAUCAUGGUGCAGAAAUACCAGUCCCCAGUGAGGGUGUACAAAUACCCCUUUGAAUUAAUUAUGGCUGUAAGUACUUGACAUUUCAAUUUACUCUUUGGCUUCUUAUUUAUAAAGUACAGUGUUAGAAUUUGAUGAUCUAUAGAUUUAUUGUUCGUCUCCAUGGCAUCACUUGAACUUACUCUGUUUUUAUGCUUAUGAACCGUAUCUAGAGUGUGUAAAAUGUUUUUAAAAUACAAGCCUCUGAAAAUAAAAAUCUGCUUAUUAAAA
rnacentral:lncRNA from 1 species